rnacentral:rRNA from 1 species
UACGGGGGGGGCAAGCGUUGUUCGGAAUUACUGGGCGUAAAGGGCGCGUAGGCGGCCUGCUAAGUCACACGUGAAAUCCCUCGGCUCAACCGGGGAACUGCGUGUGAUACUGGCGGGCUUGAAUUCGGGAGAGGGAUGUGGAAUUCCAGGUGUAGCGGUGAAAUGCGUAGAUAUCUGGAGGAACACCGGUGGCGAAGGCGGCAUCCUGGACCGAGAUUGACGCUGAGGCGCGAAAAGCUAGGGGGAGCAAACGGGG